ACAGGCUAAUAAAUUAUCUUAUGUUAAGUAAUCAGUAUAUAAGGCUGAUACCUAGCAGGCUGAGUGUAGUGGUAGAUUUGGGGUGUCUGGAAGAGCAGAAGCGGUGAGACAGCCGCAGAAGAGAAUGCUACCUGAAAAGAAACGAAGAAGGAAAGCAACAGCAAAGACGGAACUUUCCUGAGAGCAGCAGCACAACUCUGAGGUUGCCUUAGCAAUGACCUUCAGAGCAGCUACCUGCCAGCAGCUAAGGCCAGCGGCACACUGCUACAAAGGCAGUGGCUUCUAAGGCAGCAGCACCAGCUCCAGGGAAACAGCAACAGCCAUCAUCUCCAGGCACUGACAUGGUCAUCCUUAACAUUGACAGAGCAGAAGGACCCUCAGAUGACUCAUAGGGAAUUUGGGUACCAGUCAAAAUGUCCCCCUGGAUCGUGAAUACUUACAUCCUCAUAGAGAUAGGUAGCAGCAAAGAUACAAGAAAAAAUGGCUAGUCCACAAAUAUGUUCCAGGAAGAUCUAAGCAUGGGGCAGCCAACACUACAGAAAAAACACUGGAAGUUGUGGAGAUGUUUGCUUUUCCUGAAUUUAAAGCAGCUAUUAAAAACUUUUUUUUUUAUCUGGGAGGAAGGAGGCAAUAAUUUUGAAGACAAUAUAUCAGAGUGAUUAUCAGAAAGUGAGAACAAGUGGAGAAAGUCCUAUAUGAAACAAGUUUGGCUGUAAAAGUUGGAAACAUUUUCUUUCCUGUUUUAUCUUCAGUAAAGAUCCCAAUUAGUAUGGCUUAAGUUGUGAUAACUAUGUUAGAAUACAAAAACAAAGCUAACCAGUCUUAUGUUGUUUCCUAAUUAACAUGGGUAGCAGUGGCCAAUUGGCUGGUUUCCUAUGUAUUGCAUACAUUUGUUCAACUUGGUAUUGCAAAAAUGGUGAAUUUUCUCUGCAGAACUGAAUUAAUUUUUGCUUAAGGAAAAUGUGACUUAUUUUUAAAUUUGUGGCAGACACCCAGCAUUUUUUUUAAUCAUAGGCUUUCUUUAUUUCAGGUGGACAAAGCUGCAGGGCAUACGACUUGCAUUCUUUUUGUCCUCACUUGCAUAAAAAAUAUCUUAUAACUCAGAAUUGAGAAACAUUCACUACAACAACUAUAUGUAGGGUUGGGCAAGGAAAAAGUAGAAAUAGGCAGAUUCUUUAAGAUCAUUUUCCUAUAAAAACUAAAUAUAUAACAUGGUUACACUCUAAUUAUACCUAGCAAUAAGAUACAGGAACGGAUAAAGUUUGUAUACUUUGGUGACUAAUAACAUCCAAUGGCUCACUACUGUUUCUUUACUCACAGCUCAAUAGAAAAGCUCCAGUUCACAAGAAGCUGACAGUCACUGAUUAUAUAAACGUGACACCUUGUCAGCUAAGAGUGGAUGAUAUAUAUGUGGAUAAUAAAUAUAGGAACCACUGAAUCUAAUCAAAUAUUGUUGCAUUUAUAUAAGGAUAAUUCAGAAUAAACAAUCAAAAAUUAAGCUUGAAGGAAAAUCUUUCCUACUGUGAUCAUCUGAAUGGAUGAUAUCUAAGCAGCCUUUUAUUACAAUGGCUCAGUUAAAUCUAGUUUAGUGACAUUGCAACAUUGUGCAAUAACUGAGUUUGGUUUCUGAUACCUUCUAAUAUUACAUGAAUUUAUUGGUAAUGGCAUUUUCCUACCAGAGGCAAAAUGGAAGUAUACAAAAUACCAUACAGUCCCUUAGGCUAAUAAUUCACACACACAAUAAUACUGUCAGUAAAGUUGGCAACAAUAAAAAUUAAAUUUUGAUGCCAUAGGUACCCACGUUAAUGCUGACUUAUAGACAAAUUCAGACUGGAAAUAAGGUCUAAAUUUUUAAUAGUGGAACUAACUAACCAUUGGAACAACUGACCCAAGGUUCAUUAUGGAAUCUCCAUAACUGACAAUUUUAAAAUCAAGACUGGAUGUUUUGCUAAAAGACACGUUCUAGGCAGGACUGGCUCUACAGUUUUCACCGCCCCAAGCAGCGUGCCGAAUUGCCGCCACGGAUGGCGGGGGCCAUCCGUGUGCUCUUAGGGUACGUCCAUACUACCCGCCCGGAUCGACGGGUAG